GCUUUGAUGGUCUAGUGGUUAGGACACUGCGUUGUGGCCGACAGUAACCCAGGUUCGAAUUCCUAGCGUUCAAAGCA